rnacentral:rRNA from 1 species
UACGUAGGGGGCUAGCGUUGUCCGGAUUUAUUGGGCGUAAAGAGCGUGUAGGCGGCCAGGUAGGUCUGCUGUGAAAACUCGAGGCUCAACCUCGAGACGUCGGCGGAAACCAUCUGGCUAGAGUCCGGAAGAGGAGAGUGGAAUUCCUGGUGUAGCGGUGAAAUGCGCAGAUAUCAGGAGGAACACCGAUGGCGAAGGCAGGUCUCUGGGCCACUACUGACGCUGAGAAGCGAAAGCGUGGGGAGCGAACAGG